AAUGGAGGCAACUCUGACCCAGCCAUGCCGCGUGAAGGAAGAAGGUCUACGGAUUGUAAACUUCUUUUAUUUGGGAAGAACUUCUCUACGUGUAGAGAACUGACGGUACCAAACGAAUAAGGACCAGCUAACUCCGUGCCAGCAGCCGCGGUAAUACGGAGGGUCCAAGCGUUAUCCGGAAUCAUUGGGUUUAAAGGGUUCGCAGGCGGUUCAUUAAGUCAGUGGUGAAAUCUCUCGGCUCAACCGAGAAACUGCCAUUGAUACUGAUGGACUUGAAUAUAGUUGGAGUAGGCGGAAUGUGUAGUGUAGCGGUGAAAUGCUUAGAUAUUACACAGAACACCGAUAGCGAAGGCAGCUUACUAAACUAUUAUUGACGCUCAUGAACGAAAGCGUGGGGAGCGAACAGGAUU
rnacentral:rRNA from 1 species